rnacentral:rRNA from 1 species
AACUCCGGUUCUGCAGUGGGUACGGGCAGACUAGAGUGAUGUAGGGGAGACUGGAAUUCCUGGUGUAGCGGUGAAAUGCGCAGAUAUCAGGAGGAACACCGAUGGCGAAGGCAGGUCUCUGGGCAUUAACUGACGCUGAGGAGCGAAAGCAUGGGGAGCGAACAGGAUUAGAUACCCUGGUAGUCCAUGCCGUAAACGUUGGGCACUAGGUGUGGGGGACAUUCCACGUUUUCCGCGCCGUAGCUAACGCAUUAAGUGCCCCGCCUGGGGAGUACGGCCGCAAGGCUAAAACUCAAAGGAAUUGACGGGGGCCCGCACAAGCGGCGGAGCAUGCGGAUUAAUUCGAUGCAACGCGAAGAACCUUACCAAGGCUUGACAUGGGCCAGACCGCCGCAGAAAUGUGGUUUCCCCUUUGGGGCUGGUUCACAGGUGGUGCAUGGUUGUCGUCAGCUCGUGUCGUGAGAUGUUGGGUUAAGUCCCGCAACGAGCGCAACCCUCGUUCUAUGUUGCCAGCACGUGAUGGUGGGGACUCAUAGGAGACUGCCGGGGUCAACUCGGAGGAAGGUGGGGACGACGUCAAAUCAUCAUGCCCCUUAUGUCUUGGGCUUCACGCAUGCUACAAUGGCCGGUACAAAGGGUUGCGAUACUGUGAGGUGGAGCUAAUCCCAAAAAGCCGGUCUCAGUUCGGAUUGGGGUCUGCAACUCGACCCCAUGAAGUCGGAGUCGCUAGUAAUCGCAGAUCAGCAACGCUGCGGUGAAUACGUUCCCGGGCCUUGUACACACCGCCCGUCAAGUCACGA